rnacentral:lncRNA from 10 species
AGAGGAUAGCAACUGAAAACGGAGCUCCCAUGCCGCUGGGGAAACUCAUCAUCUCCAGACAGGAAGACCGAGGCAAAAUGAGGGACCUUUUCACACCCCAUUUUAGAUGGACAACUUUGCUGCUGUGGUUUAUAUGGUAAGAGCUGUUUGUUGACCACUUUGACCCCUUUCCACUCCCUGUGCCCUGUUUUGGGUUUUGUUUUAAUGCAAUGGACAGAUAGCACUUUGAUUUCAGGCAGCGUUUGCAAAUUUCAGUAGUUCGAACAUCAUCCUCCUGAUUUCCGUCAUAUCCAGGUUAUCAUCUGUACGUACUAUCAUUUCCUUCAUCUUUUUCUUUAACUUGACUGCUUUUAAUCACCGUGCAGGCUGGAGUGCAGUGGCGCUCUCCUAGCUUACUGCAGCCUUGAACUCCUGAACUCAAGCAAUCCUCCCUCCUCAG